rnacentral:lncRNA from 1 species
UUUUUUUUUUUUCCAUCUUUCUAUUCAUGUUCUUUUAAAAAAAAAUUGUUAGAAAAUUUUAGGAAGGAAUAACAGGUGGCCUUUUUUAAGAGUUUCAAUAUCACUCCCACUUUGCCCACUUCUCCCUCCCCAGAGCCUGUCCUCUGACGUCGGCAAGGACCACAGCUCCUGUCCUAUCUCCUCUCAGACGGCAACCUUGACGCAGCUAAGCAGGAUGCUCCUAAAUCUGACCCCUCCCACAGUCCUGCACAGCCGGUGCCUCAUCCAGGUGACAGGAGACAGCCCAGGUGUGUUCCUGACACACCUCGUCAGACCGCACCCUGCCUCGGCCUGGAUUCUUUGCAGGUCCCUGCACAGCCCACGCUACCUCCCACCUCCCACCUUCGCUCAGGCUGCCCUGCCUGCUUAUACUCUCCUGAAUGUCUCCCCAUCUGCUAGAGUCCUCUCAGAGGAGUUUCCCUGGUGGCUCCAUGGGUUAAGGAUCCAGCAUUGUCACUGCAGCAACUUGGGUUGCUACUGUGGCGCAGGUUCAAUCCCUGGCCCUGGAACUUCCACAAGCUGCAGGCACAGCCAAAAACAAGGAUUCUUCUCUGUAGUUGGGAGUAUUAGUGAGGGUGAAACACAAGUGUUUCGUUAGACUUAUUUCCCUCCCAUGCUUGGUUGAAUUGUGUUCCCCCAAAAUUCAUGUCCAGCAGCAAUUUCAGAAUCUGGCCCUAUUUGGAAAUCGGACAUUGCAGAUGUAAUUAGGUAAUUAAGAUGAGGUUAUGCUGGGGUCCAGUGGGCCCUAACUCAAUGCCUGGUGCCAUUCAUUAUUUGAAAAGGAACGGAAGCAAUAAAAAGAUAGAGACGAAGUGACACUGGCACAAGACCAGGACACCACGGAUUUCCAGCAACCACGGCAAUCCAGGAAGAGGCCUGGAGCACAUUCUCCCUGAGAGCCGCCAGGAAGAACCAGCCCUUCUGACACCUUGAUCCUGGGCCUCUGGCUUCCAGAACAGCCAGACAAUAUAUAGUUUCCACGGUCGUAAGUUGCCCAGCUUGCGGUACUUUACCGUGGCCACGUCCCCUACCCCGUAGAAGACUAGCGGCUGCUCUCUGCACAUGUGGAACUGGACACUCUCUGGACUUGGAGAGCCCUGGCAGAGAGGCGACCGGGAUGCAUUUACUGAAAGCAGAAGGGACCAAGGGAUUUCCAUCACCCUCCACCUCCUGGGCAGAAGACCACGGAACUCCUCCGUGGGAAGCUGGACAGCCCAGCGGCUCUAUAGAUCCUGAUAUUUAGGGGCCCUCGAGCCAGACAGCUCUAUGCCAAAGCCCACCACUGGCAACUCCCACACAUUCUCAAAUGCAAGCAGACAGGUAAGAGCUACCCAGCAUUUAAGGGAAGGAUCAAAACAAACAAAAGGGAGCUCAAAGGAACGGAAGCAAUGCAGGAGGAGGAAGGGAGCUUUGGAAAACAGUGACAGUGGCUCAAGGGCUGUGCUCUCUGCAAAAUCAGAACAGUACAAAAAGGCACCCAUAGAAGCAAAAAUAAAAGAUGUAGCGUUCCUGCUGUGUAGCACUGGGAACUGCAUCUAGUCACUUACGAUGGAGCAUGGUAAUGUGAGAAAAAAGAAUCUAUACAUGCAUGUGUUACUGGGUCAGCUUUGAUGUACAGUAGGAAAUUGACAGAACACUGUAAACCAGCUAUAAUAAAAAAUAAAUAAAUAAAAAUCACUAUAUAUAAAAAAAUAAAACAAAAUAAAUUUUAAAAGAUGUAGCAUUCCAUUGAAAGGUAUAAAGGAGAAGUUAGAUAAUUCAUUCCAAAGGAAAAAUAAGAAUUCCUAUCAUGGCUCAGUGGUUAACCAACCCAACUAGUAUCCAUGAGGAUACGGGUUCAAUCCCUAGCCUCGCUCAGUGGGUUAAGGAUCCGGUGUUGCCAUGAGCCAUGGUGUAGGUCACAGAUGCAGCUCAGAUCCUGCAUUGCUGUGGCUGUGGCGUGGGCUGGCAGAUACAGCUCUGAUUAGGCCCCUAGCCUGGAAACUUCCACAUGCUGCAGGUGUGGGCCUAAAAAGAAAAAGAAAAAAAAAUAAACAAAAGAAAAAUAGAGACAAAAGAUGGAAAAUGUAAGAGAAAAGAAAAAUAAAGAACCAUCACAGGAGCUCCAUCAUCUGACCAAUACGGGUUUCAGAACAGAGAACAGCGGGAGUUCCCGUCGUGGCCCAGUGGUUAACGAAUCCGACUAGGAACCAUGAGGUUGCGGGUUCAAUCCCUGCCCUUGCUCAGUGGGUUAACGAUCCGGCGUUGCCGUGAGCUGUGGUGUAGGUUGCAGACGCGGCUCGGAUCCUGCAUUGGUGUGGCUCUGACGUAGGCUGGUGGCUACAGCUCCGAUUUACCCCUAGCCUGGGAACCUCCAUAUGCUGAGGGAGUGGUACAAGAAAUAGCAAAAAGACAAAAACAAAAAACAAAAAAAACAAAAAAAACAAAAAAAAAAAGCACUC